rnacentral:rRNA from 1 species
UACAGAGGGGGCAAGCGUUAUUCGGAAUUAUUGGGCGUAAAGGGCGCGUAGGCGGCUUUUCAAGUGACGGGUGAAAUCCCUCGGCUUAAACCGAGGAACUGCCUGUCAGACUGGAAGGCUUGAGACCGGGAGAGGUGAGUGGAAUUCCCAGUGUAGCGGUGAAAAUGCGUAGAUAUUGGGAGGAACACCAGUGGCGAAGGCGGCUCACUGGACCGGAACUGACGCUGAGGCGCGAAAAGCGUGGGGAGCAAACAG